rnacentral:rRNA from 1 species
UACGAAGGGGGCUAGCGUUGCUCGGAAUCACUGGGCGUAAAGGGUGCGUAGGCGGGUUUUUAAGUCAGGGGUGAAAUCCUGGAGCUCAACUCCAGAACUGCCUUUGAUACUGGCAAGCUUGGAGUCCGGGAGAGGUGAGUGGAACUGCGAGUGUAGAGGUGAAAUUCGUAGAUAUUCGCAAGAACACCAGUGGCGAAGGCGGCUCACUGGCCCGGUACUGACGCUGAGGUGCGAAAGCGUGGGGAGCAAACAGGG